AUUGAACGCUGGCGGUAUGCUUAACACAUGCAAGUCGAACGAGUGGCGGACGGGUGAGUAAUGCAUAGGAAUCUACCUUUUAGUCUAGGAUAACUACCCGAAAGGGUGGAUAAUACUGGAUGAUAAGAGAUGAGCAUAUGUGGGAUUAGCUAGUGGGUGGGGUAAUGGCUCACCAAGGCGACGACCUCUAGCUGGUUUGAGAGGAUGAUCAGCCACACUGGAACUGAUACACGGCCCAGACUCCUACGGGAGGCAGCAGUGGGGAAUAUUGGACAAGUGGCGAAAGCCUGAUCCAGCCAUGCCGCGUGUAUGAAGAAGGCCUUAGGGUUGUAAAGUACUUUCAGCGGGGAGGCGUUACCCGCAGAAGAAGCACCGGCUAACUCCGUGCCAGCAGCCGCGGUAAUAC
rnacentral:rRNA from 1 species